GACGAAGGAGGCUAGCGUUGCUCGGAAUUACUGGGCAUAAAGCGCGCGUAGGUGGUCCUGUAAGCGGGGGAUGAAAGCCCAUGGCUCACCCAUGGAACUGUCCUUCGGACUGCAGGGCUGGAGGGCGGGAGGGGAGAAUGGAAUUCCCGGUGUAGCGGUGAAAUGCGUAGAUAUCGGGAGGAACGCCGGUGGCGAAAGCGAUUCUCUGGCCCGUUCCUGACACUGAGGCGCGAAAGCUAGGGGAGCCAACAGG
rnacentral:rRNA from 1 species